UCUCUCUAUUUUUUUAUGCUUUUUACUUUAUUUUCUUUUGAUUUGAUCUUGCUUUUAGCUCUCUAAUCUGCCUAGGGUUGUGUUUUUGAUAAAAUUUUUUGAUAUGGACAUAUAAAAUCUGCUGGGUAUUUUUUGUUGCUCUCUCUAUAUAUACAUAUUGUUAGUUGGGCUAUUUUAUCUGGUUUGUUUUGUUUUACAUUUUUUUUUUUGUUUUUGCAAAUUAUGAAGCAAUCAAAAUUUUUUUU
rnacentral:lncRNA from 1 species